rnacentral:SRP_RNA from 1 species
GCUGGGCACCGUGGCGGGUGCCUGUAAUCCCAGCUACUUGGGAGGCUGAGGCAGGAGAAUGGCUUGAACCCAGGAGGCGAGGAGGUUGCAGUGACCCGAGAAUACGCCACUGCACUCCAGCCUGGGUUACAGAGUGAGACUCUUUUUUUU